AUUGAACGCUGGCGGAAUGCUUUACACAUGCAAGUCGAACGGUAGAGGGGGCAACCCCUUGAGAGUGGCGAACGGGUGAGUAAUAUAUCGGAACGUGCCCAGUCGUGGGGAUAACGUAGCGAAAGUUACGCUAAUACCGCAUACGAUCUAAGGAUGAAAGCGGGGGAUCGCAAGACCUCGCGCGAUUGGAGCGGCCGAUAUCAGAUUAGGUAGUUGGUGGGGUAAAGGCUCACCAAGCCAACGAUCUGUAGCUGGUCUGAGAGGACGACCAGCCACACUGGAACUGAGACACGGUCCAGACUCCUACGGGAGGCAGCAGUGGGGAAUUUUGGACAAUGGACGCAAGUCUGAUCCAGCCAUUCCGCGUGCAGGAUGAAGGCCCUCGGGUUG
rnacentral:rRNA from 1 species